rnacentral:rRNA from 1 species
CAGCGCCGCGGGAACACGGAGGGCGCGAGCGUUACCCGGAUUUACUGGGCGUAAAGGGCGUGUAGGCGGCCUGGGGCGUCCCAUGUGAAAGGCCACGGCUCAACCGUGGAGGAGCGUGGGAUACGCUCAGGCUAGAGGGUGGGAGAGGGUGGUGGAAUUCCCGGAGUAGCGGUGAAAUGCGCAGAUACCGGGAGGAACGCCGAUGGCGAAGGCAGCCACCUGGUCCACUUCUGACGCUGAGGCACGGAAGCGUGGGGAGCAAACCGGAUUAGAUACCCCAGUAGUCCCUGUCUCUUAUACA